rnacentral:tRNA from 1 species
AUGUGGAUGGCUCAGUGGUUGAGCAUCUGUCUUUGGCUCAGGUCGUGAUCCUGGAGUUCUGGGAUCGAGUCCCACGUCAGAAUA